rnacentral:rRNA from 1 species
GACGAACGCUGGCGGCGUGCCUAAUACAUGCAAGUCGAGCGCAGGAAGUCAUCCGACCCCUUCCGGGGGACGUUGACGGAAUGAUCAGCGGACGGUUGAGUACCACGUAAAGAACCUGCCCUCAGGUCUGGGAUAACCACGAGAAAUCGGGGCUAAUACCGAAUGGGACAGCGGACCACAUGUUUCGGGGUUGGAAGGCGCUCCGGCGUCGCCUGGGGAUGGCUUUGCGGUGCGUUAGCUAGUCGGUGGGGUAAUGGCCCACCAAGGCGACGAUGCAUAGCCGACCUGAGAGGGUGAUCGGCCACACUGGGACUGAGACACGGCCCAGACUCCUACGGGAGGCAGCAGUAGGGAAUCUUCCACAAUGGGCGAAAGUCUGAUGGAGCAACGCCGCGUGAACGAUGAAGGCCCUCGGGUCGUAAAAUUCUGUUGUAAGGGAAGAACAAGUGCGGCAGGGAAUAGGCGCAUCUUGACGGUACCUAGAGAGAAAGCCACGGCUAACUACGUG